UCCGGUUUGUCACCGGCAGUCUCAUUAGAGUGCUCAACUGAAUGUAGCAACUAAUGACAAGGGUUGCGCCCGUUGCGGGACUUAACCCAACAUCUCAUGACACGAGCUGACGACAGCCAUGCAGCACCUGUGCACGGACUCCGAAGAGGAACCGAUGUUUCCACCGGCUUUCCCGUGCAUGUCAAGCCCAGGUAAGGUUCUUCGCGUUGCUUCGAAUUAAGCCACAUACUCCACCGCUUGUGCGGGCCCCCGUCAAUUUCUUUGAGUUUUAAUCUUGCGACCGUACUCCCCAGGCGGCACGUUUAACGCGUUAGCUCCGGCGCGGAAGGGGUCGAAUCCUCCCACACCAAACGUGCACCGUUUACUGCCAGGACUAC
rnacentral:misc_RNA from 1 species